GGGGGGUAGAAGAAGGCUCGACAUGAGCAGGCUUAAGUCCGUUGAGAGAGACUGUAACAGCUGAAUCUUUCAUCUGGAUGUCAUAGGUGUUGGCUGAGCGGCGGAGGACUCGGUACAGGCCGGUAUAUGGAGGUUGGAGGGGAGCACGGACAGUGUCAUCUCGGAGCAUGACGUACUCACAAUUGUCCAGAGAUUUCAGGACGUGAACAUUAGGGCAGGAAAGGCUGGUGGGCGGAGGGAUAUGGAGGUUGAUGAAGUGGCGUCUGACGUGGUCCACAAAGGAAGGUAAGUCAGACUGAGGGACAGAAGUGGAAGGGCUCACAAGUUCGCCAGGGAGAACAAUGUUCUGGCCAUAUACGAACUCAGCUAUUGUGCCUUUGAGGUCUUCCUUAUAGAUUGCACGAAUACUGAGUAGCACAAGGGGAAGGGCCUCUACCCUUAGAGAGUCGUGGCACCGAAGAGCCGCCUGGAAAUUGCAGUGCCAGCGCUCGACUAGCCCAUUACUUUGUGGGUGAUAUGCUGUGGUAUGGAUGCGCCAGAUGCCGCAAUUGUUACAAAUCCUGUUGAACAGGGCCGACUCAAAUUGUCUGCCCUGGUCAGUCGUGAUGAUAGCUGGACAUCCGAAACGCGAUACCCAUGACUCGACGAAAGCUCAAGCAACAGUUUCUGCCAUAAUGUUGGGGAUGGGGACAGCCUCGACCCAGCGAGUUAUUUGGUCGAUAGACAAGAGAAUAUAACCAAAGCCAUUAGAGUGGGAGAGAGGGCCGACAAUGUCAAUAUGAAUAUGCUGGAAACGCCCAGGAGGGAUCGAAAAGGUGCCGAGGGGGGGUGAAGUGUGUUUGUGUACUUUGCAGCUUUGGCAGUGAAAGAGUCAGUCAUAGCAGGGGUCCAUGGAACGGGUCGAAAUCCAGAAGUGUUGGUGCCUGCCAAGGCAUCCAUCAGUGGAGCCUGAAUCUCCUCAGCCCGAGGUAGAAUUUGGCGAUAAUAAUUAACGGUCCCCAGAAAGCGCUGGAGCUCUUUGAAUGAUGAAGGUCUGGGUAGGUUUAGUAUUGUUUGUACUUCCUCAGGGGGCGGUGAAAUGCCGUCAGCAGAGGCCUGAAAACCAAGAAAAGUGACUGUGGGUUGAUGUAGCUGCAAUUUGUCCUGGUUGGUCUUGCUGCCUGCUGCCGCGAGAGUGUUCAUAACAGUUUGCACGUGUCGAAUGUUGUCCUCAGUGGAGGAGUUGAACACAAGAAUGUCAUCAAGAUAUGCAAUGCAGAAUUUUAGGUCGAAUAGCAUUUCGUUGAUGAAGCGUUGCCAGGUCUCGGUUGCGUUUUUCAGACCGAAGGGCAUGAAUCAAAACUGAAAUAACCCGACCGGGAUGGUGAUUGCUGUCUUCUCGAUGUCUUCAGGUGCCAUGGGGAUCUGGUGGUAGGCCCGUUUGCAAUCAAUGACAGAGAACGUGGUCGCACCUGCGAGGGAAUAGGUUAAGUCGGCAAUGUUGGGUAUGGGGUAGGUGUCCUUAAUUGUUCGUGCGUUCAGUCGACGGUAGUCUCCGCACAUGCGCCAGGACCUGUCUUUCUUGGGUGUCAUAUGUAUGGGUGUAGACCAGCUACUGGCAGAGGGCUCAAUGAUGCCGGAGCUUAGUAGUUCAGAAAUCUUAUUUUUAAGGUUGGAGAGGUGCUCGGGACAAAGUCGACAUGGUUUACUGGAGAUCGGGGCACCUGGCGUGAGGCAAAGAUUGUGAACCGUGCCAUUGGUGACGACGGAAAUGUUGCCGGCGGCACGGGAGGCGGUUUGUUUACAAUGUGUGGUGUGAGGGGCAGGCGAGGCGUGGUUGUGGUGUUCGGAGCCACUCGGCGGAUCCGAAGGGAGCCGAGGUGGCAAGGUGUCCCAGGAGUCAACGCGACAAGAUGGCCGCCGGCCCAAAGCAGUGGCACCAUGUUUGGGUGAGCCCAGUAGAGCUCGUGAGUCCAUUGUCCGAGGGCACGGCCUGUGGCAGCAUGGUCGCUGCUGUGAGUGCAGUGUUUGUGUUGUCAGUGGCGGUCGCACGGCAGCAUGCAGGAGCUGAAGUUGCAAAGUUUGAGGUGCUGUCCACGAGGGGCCAGGUAGUUGCCAUCAGUUCGGGAACAUGUGACGCUUGUCGCGCAUGCGCACUUGUGUCCGGCCGAGUGUCAAACACUGCCAUGUUAGGAGGGUGUGGCUCUGUGGAACUGUCAGUACAUGUUAUGGCAGUCUUUAUAGCACAAUUGCGAGGGGUUGUGGGAGGUAAACACACGGAGGCUCAAUUGCUGGUACUGCAAGCAGAUUCGGCGCACUUACUGACCUUGCUUUGUCCUUGCUGUAGUGUCUGUAAUUUGCAUCGGAGAGCUGGAGCUGUGUUUCGUGCCGGAGGGAGAGCUCGAAGUUUUCCUUGUGUAGGCGAAUGACGUGUUCAAGCUCGACAAGGCUCUUGUGCGUGGUUUCUUGUAACAUCAUCAACAGAGAUGAGCAUGUACAGAUGAGAUGAGUGCAGACCAAUGUGUCACGGGGGGGUUUGCUCGACGGAGCACAGGGGAAGUGAGUCUUGGACAGAUGAUGAAACACGGUGUCUUGCACUAGGUCUGGUGAAAGUUUGUGGUAUCGCAAUAAGUCAAUGCCUUGUAUAGGUUCGGCAAUUUCGCACACUAAAAAGUCCACUCAAGUUUGCAGUUUGCGGAGAGUGAGACAACAUGGGAAGUUGAACCCGAGCAUUGUAGUUUAGUUGAAUUCACGGCUUGCAGUGAAGUAUGAUGAAGGCGGAUGUUCAGCGACACUAAGGAUGUAGGCAGCAGCGGAACAUCGGCGCCUGUCUCCACUAGGAAAAGGUAUCCCGACGAAAUGUCUUUAAUGUAAAGUUGUCCACAAUUAUCCAGUCGUUCCCGAACAGAAUGGAGCACUGAGAGGUGCCUGGCAUGUUGUGCGCAGGAGGUGGUACCCGGACCUACCUGCGAUUGACGUUUGGGAAGUAGCAGGGUGGUCUGCAGUUCCGUGCCGCCUCACCAAACUGUGUGUGGAAGUACCAGUACGGGUAGUGCGGUUGCAUUUCCUGUGGAACAUUUGUUGCCAGUGGUGGUGGCCGAGGUUUGGUAGCUGCAGCAGGUUCGGUUGCAGGAGGGGGCGUGACCGUGGGUGGAGCCGGUGACGUCCCAGUUGCUUGUUUACUGCUUCCUGGAGCAAGCGGAAUGGUUGGCACAGUAUGGCCCCAGCCGCGUCUGGGUGCAGGAUGAUGAGCCUGAACCUGAGACUUGUCAAGUAGGCAGUGGCUGGCAAAAUAGGGCAGUGAUGCAUCAUGUAGCUUGUCAGCAAUUGUCAUUCUUUGCUCAACAGGUUCGGGAGACCUUUGAGCCAGUGCAAAGUGGAUGUGAGGAGAUGGCGAGGAGAGCUGUGUCAGAGAAUAGUUCGGCACUGACCAGGGCAUGCAGCCGUCUCCAGAGCUGGGAAGGUUUGUCGUUGCCUAGUUGCUUGAUGUAGAGCACUUGCCAUAUUGCUGCCUCAGUUGAGUGUGCAAGCUGACACAGAAAAGUCUUUUUGGCUAGAGUGUACCGGGUAGAUGAGUCCGAGGCAUCGACUAGAUCAGCAAUUAAGUCCUCCUGGUCGUGCAGGUGGGUGAUGAGGCACAGAAACCUGGUUGACUUGUCAAGUUUGUAAUGGUCGAACACUUCGUCCACAGUUUUGAACCAGGUUGUUGCUCUGUCGGGAUUUAACGGCAGCAGCGUCGGUAAGCAUUGUAGAAUGUUUGGAAGAACAGGUUGAGUUGAGUUCAUCGGGGCACUGCCUGAAUCGAGCUGUUGUUGCUGUAGUAUUCCAGGAGAGUGUGCCUCCAGGGGAUGUGGCAAUGAUGGCCUCUUCGGGUGGCAGCGUGAAGGUGACACGUUUUGGUUGAGCGCGAUCCGUCACAACACGGAAGGCCGACAUGGGUGAGACACCGUAAUGUGUCGAUUGCGAUUGUGGAAGCUCAACACAUUACGGGUGUGUUCGAAUUGAUACGUUGCGGAAGACCGACGCGGAUGAGGCACCGAGAUGUGCCGAGAACGGUAGCGGAAUGUCAACUGGAGCCGGCGCAGGGGCAACAGGUGAGAAAAAGUUCAAAGUUUGAGAACGCGUGUUAGUCCACAGAAAGCUUGACAUAUGAUCAGAGCCAGGGCCACCUGUGUUGCAGGGAGGCUGCGGAGGUGCGAGCUGUCCAGAAGCACAGUGAGGAAAAUGAUGUCAAACGUUGGGCGGAAUGUGUGAAUGUUCACUGUUCAUAGUCACUCCACUCAAAAUGGUGUGCAGAUAAGGCCGAGGUAUCGAAGUAGAAAGGCAUGUGCUGAUGCUUAACCGAGGCAGGCACGGGCGUGGUCAGAUGCUGAGGAGGUAGACCUGUGAAUGAAGCAGUUUCAGCUAUGUGGCAGGUAUCCGUGUGGUACUGCACAGAUUGCCGUGUGGCAAAUCGUUGUCCUGGCGGUAGUAGGUUGUUCAACGAAGCAUUUGCAGAAAUCGGCAUUGGUCCCGCACUGCACGGGGAUCCGUAAGAGGCUCGGAAAUAUCCGGCAAAUCGGCGUAAUCAUUGAGUGAGAGGCAUCGUGUUGCAGUCCUGGUGGGUGUACAUCGCCCACAACACAAUGCAUGUCGAUCACAAAAUCUGGCAUUAGGUGCUGGGCUGAAGUCAUUGUUCGAAUGCUGUGUCAAUGUAAUACAUGCGAAAAUAACUGACGUGGAGGUCGCAGACACAGUAAAACAGCGAAAAUGGAAGACGUUACAACACGGGGUCACCAGUGAGGAGGAUUACCGGGUUGGUUGCACCAGUAAUUACACCCUUUUAGCAGUAGUUCAUUUAUUAACCUUAUCACAUACAAGGAUCACAAAUAACUGAACUAAACAUGGCAGAACAGCCAAAGAUAAAGCUUAGAGUUCAAAGAUGAAUGCAUAUUGAUGUUGGUGUCAAUUUGAUCAGCGCCACAAGUGUUUCAAUGCAACACAUAUAAGUUAGCUACAGGGGAGUGGUUGCCUUUCUUUAUUUUGUGUAAUUUUUUAUGGCUGUGGUUUUAUAUUUCUG